AUUCCGUAGGUGAACCUGCGGAAGGAUCAUUAAUGAGUUGUCAUGGGGUUCGAUGCUGGCAGCCAAUUUUUGGAUGCAUGUGCUUGCCCUAACAAUCAUCUUCCAAACACCUGUGCACAUUUUUGAGGGAGUCUUGAGUUGGUUGCCGCUCUUGGGUGAUUUUCUCACAUUCCCUUAAAUCAUUAUACGCUAUUAACAAUGUUGAACGUGCUCUGUGCCGCAAGGCUAUUAAUAUAAUACAACUUUUAACAACGGAUCUCUUGGCUCUC
rnacentral:misc_RNA from 1 species